CUUCCCCCUUUCCUCCCUUCCAAAACCAUCUGGCACGUGAGUGCGGGGGUAUUGAUCAAAUCCGUGUGCGCUAGUGACCCCAUGCUAAUCUAUAGCGUUGCCGGCCAUCGGGCUUGGUCGAGGAAGUGCAUCUGCCGGCUUGCCCCGCCGGUGCCGCUCCAAAAUAGACCUCUGAUCCUCCCUUAAAGCCCCCCUUUUGCCCCGACCUCCAAACCUCCACUCAGAGGAAAAGUUUUGCAGGUCCUGGAAAAAUAAAACCAAAGAAAGGGAAGGAGAAAACGUAUUCUGUCCUCAUCGGAAAAACUGAAAUACGCCAGGAAUCGGAGACUUUUCAAAACUUUGUAUUUGACAGUUUAUUUCAGAACUUCGGAGUAGCAUAUACACUAUCAAAUACUUUUAAAAAAACACACCACAAUCUAGGUUUUGUGGUCGUUGCAACAUACAUACGCACUUCACAUCACUUUUUUUAAAUAGAAGUUUUCCAAGAUUCCUUUAUUUCGUUUCCUUCUGAAAGUGCGUUCACUUGCUCGGGAGUAACAUCUGCUUUGCGGACAGCUGGAAAGUCUCGUUUCAGAGGGCAAACCGCAGCGUUUGGAAACGGAGGUGGGGAUUUUACUCUCUUUCAGAGGCAUCGCAAAAACUCCCGGAGUGGAUCUGCAGCCCACCGCUCGGAUCCAUCUGAAUUAGGAUCUGUUCAACGUUUUAGGAUCGCAGAUCGAACAACAUGCUAAUUUUGGGGAGCGGAAUUUGUACCGGAUUUAACAUAUAUCAGUGUUUUUUAUUCCUUAACUCAUUUUGUACAUUUCUCUAAUGGAAAUCUAUGCGGAGGUGGACAUCGAGGAUGUGAAGAGAACAGGAGUGGAGUUCAUCGUAAUCUUGUCUUUAUUUAACUCUAGGCACUACAGUAUAUUUAUGACGGUAUAAUUAGAAUAAUAAGAAAUAUAGAUUCUGCGUAUACAAGCCCAUUGGUAGGUUUCCUACAGCAGCACAAAUGCAUAUACUGUAUAAAUAAUUCUUAUCAGUGCCACCUUUUAUUUAUUUAUUUAUUUAUUUAUUUAUUUAUUUAUUUAUUUAUUUAUUUAUUUAUUUAUUUGAUUUAUACCCCGCCUAUCUGGACUACCAGACCACUCUAGGCGGAUUAAUUAUUAUUUUAAAUAAGCUAAUAAAAAAAUAGGACUAAUCCA
rnacentral:lncRNA from 1 species